GACGAACGCUGGCGGCGUGCCUAAUACAUGCAAGUAGAACGCUGAAAAGAGGAGCUUGCUCUUCUUGGAUGAGUUGCGAACGGGUGAGUAACGCGUAGGUAACCUGCCUUGUAGCGGGGGAUAACUAUUGGAAACGAUAGCUAAUACCGCAUAACAAUGGAUGACCCAUGUCAUUUAUUUGAAAGGGGCAAAUGCUCCACUACAAGAUGGACCUGCGUUGUAUUAGCUAGUAGGUGAGGUAACGGCUCACCUAGGCGACGAUACAUAGCCGACCUGAGAGGGUGAUCGGCCACACUGGGACUGAGACACGGCCCAGACUCCUACGGGAGGCAGCAGUAGGGAAUCUUCGGCAAUGGGGGCAACCCUGACCGAGCAACGCCGCGUGAGUGAAGAAGGUUUUCGGAUCGUAAAGCUCUGUUGUAAGUCAAGAACGAGUGUGAGAGUGGAAAGUUCACACUGUGACGGUAGCUUACCAGAAAGGGACGGCUAACUACGUGCCAGCAGCCGCGGUAAUACGUAGGUCCCGAGCGUUGUCCGGAUUUAUUGGGCGUAAAGCGAGCGCAGGCGGUUUGAUAAGUCUGAAGUUAAAGGCUGUGGCUCAACCAUAGUUCGCUUUGGAAACUGUCAAACUUGAGUGCAGAAGGGGAGAGUGGAAUUCCAUGUGUAGCGGUGAAAUGCGUAGAUAUAUGGAGGAACACCGGUGGCGAAAGCGGCUCUCUGGUCUGUAACUGACGCUGAGGCUCGAAAGCGUGGGGAGCGAACAGGAUUAGAUACCCUGGUAGUCCACGCCGUAAACGAUGAGUGCUAGGUGUUGGAUCCUUUCCGGGAUUCAGUGCCGCAGCUAACGCAUUAAGCACUCCGCCUGGGGAGUACGAUCGCAAGGUUGAAACUCAAAGGAAUUGACGGGGGCCCGCACAAGCGGUGGAGCAUGUGGUUUAAUUCGAAGCAACGCGAAGAACCUUACCAGGUCUUGACAUCCCGAUGCUAUUUCUAGAGAUAGAAAGUUACUUCGGUACAUCGGUGACAGGUGGUGCAUGGUUGUCGUCAGCUCGUGUCGUGAGAUGUUGGGUUAAGUCCCGCAACGAGCGCAACCCCUAUUGUUAGUUGCCAUCAUUCAGUUGGGCACUCUAGCGAGACUGCCGGUAAUAAACCGGAGGAAGGUGGGGAUGACGUCAAAUCAUCAUGCCCCUUAUGACCUGGGCUACACACGUGCUACAAUGGUUGGUACAACGAGUUGCGAGUCGGUGACGGCAAGCUAAUCUCUUAAAGCCAAUCUCAGUUCGGAUUGUAGGCUGCAACUCGCCUACAUGAAGUCGGAAUCGCUAGUAAUCGCGGAUCAGCACGCCGCGGUGAAUACGUUCCCGGGCCU
rnacentral:rRNA from 1 species